AUGGUGUUCACCGUUUCUCUGUUCACAUUGGCGUAAUUGUUUUACUUUCUCUUCUUUUCUGUUUUACUUGCACGUAGCCUCCCGGGCUCAUCUGAGUUUACAAAGUGAAGUUAGAAGCCCCAAAGCUCGUGCUAAAUUUAACCGCCGCUAGUGUUGCAGUUUAGCCCUUUGUACCUUCUAUUCAUGGCUAAUUUGUGUCAAAUCAACGGCAAAAUCCUCAGAAAAUUCUCUAAUUUCUUAGAAUUUGGCGAUGAUUAAAACGGAUUUAUCCGCGCUUCUGAGAGAAAUCGAUGAAGCAUAACAUAAAUUGGUUGAAUUUCUUGAUAUGAGCUAGAUUCAUCAUUCUUUUUUUCAUUACAUAUUUUGGCAGUGAUGAUUUCUAAUACAGCUUUAAUGCCAGUUCUGCUUCUGAUAUUCUGUGAUUGAUAGAGCUGUUUAUACUACUGAGCCUCUUAAUCUCAUUUUAGUUAAUCCUUUUUCUUUGUUUAUAUUUAAAUCUAUGACGAGAUCUGAAAUUGCUGGAUAGUAUUUGAGAUUGCAACUAGCAUUCAUCAUGAAAUUAUUUAAUUUCUCCGAGAUUCAUAAAUUUGCCGAUGAUGAUCCAAUCCAACGGUGAGGUGUAGUGGAUCUAAGGUCCCUGCUUUUGCAGGGGGAACCUCCUUAUUUUCACUACAUCAAUCAUGAUCACAACGGAUUUUACUGAGGCUUUUUUCAUAGUUUUGUUCUUAAUUUUUUUUGAGUUUUAACUAUACUCUUGCUCUUGAAUAUAUUAGUGGGUUUAGGGUCUGAAAAACUCGAAAAAUUAGUGCUGUUUAUCAGCUUCUUCUCUUGAAUAAUUCAACGAGAUGGAGUUAAAUCAUGGCACUAAAUGUUUAUAAAUUUUUUGUAAUGCAUUGAGUUUUACUCCAUUUGUAUUAUGCUCACUUUUGUGGUUGAGUGUAAAUGAAAACUCAUAAAUUGCGUGCAGUCCAUCACCUCCUAUCUUGCAUAUUUCACUAAGAUUGGAGUUAAAUAUCAGCACUACAUGUUUGUAAAAUUGACUAUUAAAUGUUUGAACAAUUUCAUUUUUAUAAUUUCACUAACUGUAACUAAAAUUUGUUUUAUAAAACCAAACAAUACUAGCAGGACAACUUGUAUAAGGAGUAUUGAUGAAAUGUUGCGCGCAACACAAAUCCUAGUUGUGAUAAUGAGUAUUGAUGAAAUGUUGCGCGCAACACAAAUAUAAUAUGAGGCAUUAAGAUAUUUCACUUUUAUUAAUACCUAAUUUGCACGACUAUUAUUGUUUAUUUAUGAUGGUUAAUUGUGUUGUGUAUUGUGGAAGACAAACUUGUGCAAAAAUGAAUAAGAAGAAAGGUGGCAUGAAAUCAGUCGAUGAGAAAAGAAAAGAACAAUCUAAAACUGAUUGUGUGCCCUUAAGAAUUAAGAAUUUUAAGAAGCAGUAGUAAUUUAAACUUCGAUAACUUUAACAAAUGCAAACAAUAGCAACAUAGACUUGUGUUUAGGAAGAAAAUAUAUCUAAAAGAAUGAAAAAUAACUCUUUGGAAAAGGCCCAAGGCACAAUUGAUGAUAAAUUAUCAUGCAGUUGCCUUUUGAAGAUUGUCUAAAAAUCAAUAAGGGUAGCCUUGUUUGCCAUUGAUGAUGAGGUAAUAAUCACCUUUCACAACAACACUAUGAGAGCGAAAGUCUUGCGUAGCCAUUGAUGACAAGGUGAUCACCUUUCACAACACUAUGAGAGUGGAAGUACAGUUCAAUAAAAUGUUCAUAAUCAUCUGGUAUCUAAGUUCAUUUUGUAUCUAAUUUUGCGGAUCUAAAUCUCACCAGACCUCCCCCUUCCCAAAUUCACUGUUGCAUCUCCUAAAAUAUAAAAAAAAUCAAGAAAAAAAGUCUCAAGAAAUCAAAUACAAACCAACCAGAGGGGAUUUGCACUAUUUUGAGGGAUGAAAAACCCUUUUCCAUUGCCUCUUUUGCUGCCUCUUUUCACUCAUUAAUAUCCUCGUCUAUGCAACUUAUGAGGAAAAAUAGAGCAUCACUCCAUAUGAAGUGAUCCAAUCUUUGUUGCAUAACACACUUGAACAAAAGUUCAACUACUUAAAAAUAGCAAUUUUGGCAUUCUGCUAAAAAAUAUUCUAAGUACCUGGCAAAAGUCACUGUUGGAGAACUUUAGCUGAUUGUUAACCAACUGAAAGAAUGGGAGAAAAAAAAUGCACAAACGAAAAAGGGCAAAAGACUAUCAAGAAAAUAGCCUCUGCAUUUCUAAUAUGAACAUGUCAACUGCUGGAGUUACAAAGGCUCCAAUUGGAAAGAAAAAAAAGGUGACUAAGACCAUUCAAAAAAUAUCACCUCCCUCAUUUACCAAUAGACAAUAUAUAGUCAGAUCACUAGAAGUGCGUCAAUUUGUUGAAUUUUGUUCCACCUUAUUGCGGAAUAUAUGCACCUUCAGUAUAAGUUCAUCAGCCUGAAUGUCCUUGAUCAACUCAAAGACACAAGCAUCUCCUAACACUAAACUAUUAUCCCUAACAAAAUGUACCCAUCCUUUGCUUAGAAACAUACACGUUUUCCUCCUAAGGCAAUGUGCAGUCCACUUACUGCCAUCAGAAUUUUGAAGUUUAAUUGGUUCUGAAGUCUUUGGCAUAUAAUCUCGGCUAAAAUCAGGUGGGAUAUUCUGCAGAUUAGGACAAAUUGCGAAGUAUGUGUCAAGAUUCAAUAAGAAUGUUAAAUUAGUUUUUACAUGAGCAAAGAACAUAUUAAGAUACAAAGAAGUUUCAGCCAAAAAAAACAAAAAAAUCAGACACCUUUAGUUUAUUGUAUAGGUAGACAGGCUCACCAGAAUAUAGUUCCGCACCACGUGAUAUUCUCCAAGAGUUAUCAUGAAGUAAGGAUUCUCUGGCGUAAACAUUUUGGCAGCAGUAGUUGCGCUGUUUCCUUUUGCAUCCCUUAGUCGUCUUCCUUUACGACGAUUACCAGAGCUUCCAUGCACUACGGAUUUCUCCUCUUGCUGUCUAGAUGAAUUCUCUGUAUCUGCAAUUCAUCAAAUUAGCUCUCAGUGAUGCAGAUAAGUUUUUCGAGCUUCAGAUAUUCUGUUGGCUAAACAAACUAACCAGUGUUUGCUUCUGCAUCCCUUGGUCGUCCUCUUUUACGACGAUUACCAGAGCUUCCAUGCACUACGGAUUUCUCCUGUUGCUGCCCGAAUGAAUUCUCUGUAUCUGCAAUUCGUCAAAUUAGCUCCCAGUGAUGCAGAUAAGUUUUUCAAGCUUCAGAUUUUAUGUUGGUUAAACAAACUAACCAGUGUUUGCUUCUGCAUCCAUUGGUCGUCCUCUUUUACGACGAUUACCAGAGCUUCCAUGCACUACGGAUUUCUCCUGUUGCUGCCCGAAUGAAUUCUCUGUAUCUGCAAUUCGUCAAAUUAGCUCUCAGUGAUGCUGAUAAGUUUUUCGAGCUUCAGAUUUUAUGUUGGUUAAACAAACAAACCAGUCUUGUGAUUGGUUCUAUCUGAAGAUAAUGGUUCGAAUGCAUCUGAACUCUUUGUAUGCUUACUUUCAUCGAACUGAAGUACACAGUUUUUACCAGUAGACAGAGUUUGUUCAAAUAGGCUACCAGUGUGUAAAUUUUUUGAAUUUUCUUCCACCCUAUUGCGAAACAUGUGCACCUUCAGUAUUAAUGCAACAGCCUGAAAGUUCUUGAGCAACUCAAAGACGCAAACAUCUCCUACCAGUAAACUAUUAUCCGUAACAAAGUUCAACCAUCCUUUGCUUAGAAGCACCCGAAGUUUCCUCCUAAUGCAACGGACUUUCCACUUAUUUCCAUCAGUAUCUUGAAGUUCAAUCAGUUCUGAAGUCUUUGGCAUAUACUUCCGGACAAACUCAACUGGUAUAUUCUGCAGAUUAUGACGCGUUGUGAAGUAUGCAUCAAGAAGAAUGAAAGAUUAGUAUGCAUGAGUAUGAAUAUAUUGAGAUACAAUGCAGUUUAAAGAAGAAAAAAAUGACACGUUCAGUUUAAUGUAUAGGUACAAAGGCUCACCAGAAUAUAGUUCCGUUCUACGUUGUAUUUUUCAAGAAUCUGCAAGAAAUAAGGAUUUUCUGGAAUGAACAUUUUGGCAGUUUGAAUGGCCCUGCUUGUUUCUGAUACCUUUUGUUGUGCUCUUUCGCGACGAUCAUACCUUCCACGCCCUAAAGAUUUCUCCCGUUGCUUGCUCGUGAACAAUUUCCUUGUACCUGCAUUUAUCAAAUUAGAUCUCAAUAUGAUGCAGAGAAAUUUUCAAGCUUACAAUAUUUGGUUAGAAAACAAACUAGCUGGUUUUGCAAUUGGUUUUAUUUGAAGAUACUGAUACAAAUUCAUCUGGAAUCUCCAUAUAUUUACUUUCAUUGAAAUGAAGUACUUUGUUUUACUUCUCUCUUGUUCAUUAUUUGGAUUAGUCAUACCUCCAGUUGCCACUGCAGAGUGUAUAGGAGUUUUAAUACUUCGCCGAACAGAUUUUCCACCUACUGGCUUAGUUAAACUGCCAUUGCCCGAUAUGUUCAAAUUCUUCGCAUUUAAUAGCUGUCCGUUAUCAUGUAAUUUGUUUGUUUUGCUUCUUGUUUCAUAGCAGCGUGUAAUCUUAAUCUUUCCAGAUGCUAUUUUACGUCUUUUGGCUCUAUGCGGAAGUUCAGAUGACUUAGCUGAACUCUCUGGUCCCUGCUCAGUUUCCAAAAGAUCCACAAUUUCAAUGGAGCUCGUGAAGCCAUUAUCACCAACAAUUUUAUCCUUUCUGUGAGAAAGAUCCUGAGCAACAUCACGUGAUUUAGCAUAACCAUGACUCCUAAGUUGAUAAUCAAUCUCAGUAGCGGCUAGGUCAAAUAUGUGGACAUUGAAACAUGAGGUCUGUCCAUAUUUGAAGAGUAAAAAGUACCAACAGUUGACAGAAUGAUGUUCCAUAAACUCUUGCCAACCAUCAUGAAGCCAAAUCAUUUUACCAGCCUUCUUCAGGCCCACACACCAGAAAUCAUCAGUGGGAACAAUAAUCUUGACGGUAUCAAGGAGUUCAUCUCCAUGUUCCCGGACAAAUUUGUCUGGCAACCGCUGCACACACAAACAACAAACAUAGAUUUUUCAAAUUAAGAUCAGACAUAAGUUAUAACCAUUUAAGACAUAAAAUUGUAGUGCAGAAUUAUAAAACUAAUUAGAACGAUGCAACACAAAAGUUUUACCAAUUUCGAAUUGAGUGCUCAUGUACAGCAAGCAGAAAAACAAUCUUAACAAAUAAGCAGGAGCCACGAGACUAGAAGAAUAUGGCUGACAAUCUCAAGAAUUCGACCAGUACCAACAGUGUAAUCUAAAGCCAAAAACUAGCCAAUUUUCCAUAGAUUCUGAAGAAUCCAUAUCCGAAACUACACCACAAGUAUUAACUAUGUAUGUAUCCUUGUUUCUGUUCUAUUAUCAACCAUAGAUUAUCCAUUAUUGCUUUGUUAUAAAAGGAGAUUCUAAGUAACUUAAGGAAGGGUUACAGGUUCAGCAAAAACCAGUAACUUUAGCUGAAACUCUCAUAUGGAUAAAUAAUCUAUCAAAAAUCCAGUAAGACAAACUAUGGCGGUGAAGUACAGUAGUUUUAAACCACCUAAAAAUCGUACUGAAACUUCAUAUGAGAAAACCUAAACUAGACACCAAGAUUCUAAGCUAACUAAUAUUGUCUGGUUCAUAUAUUACAGUUUAUGAGUUCUAACUUCUACAUACACCACUAGAUCACCUAAAAGAUAAUUAGGUGAACUGUUCAAAAUAAGUAUGAAAGUACUAACCCAUAAAAUAAAGGUAAUACAUAAAUAAACACUCGAACUUAGUAAACACUCCAACUUCGAGAUCGAGAGUACAUAUAUAGACAUUCUCGACCUGCAACUAAACACUCUAACUUGUCCCUAUGAUGCUAAUACCUAUAUGAUUAUUUUGUAAAUUGGAGCGUUGAUGAGUUAAUUGUCUAUAUUUGCACUCAAAAUUGGAGCUUUAUCAAGUUUGAAAAUUUCGAUUGUGCAUAAAAAUAAAGCAUUCAAUCAAAUUGAUACAGCAAAUUAAAUCAGUAGAAUGUGCCCUAAAUUCUCUGUACUAUUGUAGUAACAACUUACAAGUUGACGAUCAUCCAUGACAGAGGGCUCAACAAUGACGUAGAAACUGCCGGCCGAGUAGGAGUUGGAGCAAGAUUCCAUCAUCACGCCGCAUGCACUGACCGAUUUUCCGGUUGGCCAGUUUUUUUUUACCCUUUGGCUAAAAUUAAAGGGUACAAUCUGUUCGUUUAAUAUAGGACAACUUUGAUAUAUAGCAAAUAAAAUAUUUAUAUUUGUAUGCUAUAGUAUACAUAGGUUCAUAAAUUGGCAUUACUCUUUUAAUAUCAAAUAAGUGGGCCAUAAAUUUAUUUAAUAUCUGAUAAAUAAGUUAUUAUUCGUUUAAUAUCUAAUAAGUGAAUCAUCGUCGAGCAGCUUACCACUCUGGCCUUUACGUGUAGGAUACUGUAGAAGAUUUUUCGGCUUUUAAAAUUGAAAGGAUAUAUAGGAUAUAUAUUCCCAUGAAUAACAAAAUAUAUUGUUAACUAUAGGUAAUUAAAAAUAAAUUUCUUUGCCGAAAUAUUUUAUGAGAAACUUUCACAUAUAGUCACUUAGAAAUAAUUAAUUAUUCUUCAAAGCUAUAGUUUAAUAAUUACAAUUUGUACCUAUAUGUUAUAUGGAGGAGAAAGGUGAGCGUGACUGGGAGAGAGAGGCGAGAGAGGGGAAAAGAGUGGGAGAAAAGUGACUUGUAUAUGCAUAUUGAUUAGAUAAUUGUACAUUAUACAUAUGUAUUUGUAUAUAUGACAAGAAAGAUCGGAAGAGGAGGAGAGAGACGAGCGAGAUCUAAAGAGGAAGGAGAGAGGCGAGCGAGAGAGGGCAGAGAGUGAGAGAGAUGUGAAUUGUAUAUGUAUAUAGGUUAAAAAAAUUGUAUAUAAUACAUAUGUAUUUGUAUACUCUGGCGAAUUAUACAUAUACAAACGUGACUAAUUAUACAAACUCGAAGUCAACCAACGUAAUUAAUGUAUAAUGUUAGUCGCGAGUGACAAUUAUAGCAAACUAUAGCUAUGGUGAGUAGUAAUUUAUAGCGUAAUUUUCUCAUAUUUUAAUUUCUCUGUUUUAAUGUAUUAGUGUUGGUGGAUUGAGCUCCUCUCCAGAUAUGAAUUCCUUCGGUUCUUUUAUUAUCCCUUUAAUAAUUUGACAUAUGUCAUACAAUAGUCUAAUGGCUCAAAUUUGUUUGAUAAACUAAAAAAAUUUAUCAUAGUUAAUAUUUAUCUCACUUCCUUUCUGUUCUUAAAAUCCUUUUGUCUCUGUCAUAGUUUAUUUUUUCAAAUUCUAUUUUGCAGCAAAUCAACAAUAUAUUUUUAGAUUUUUUUUCUAUUGUUGAUAUUUGAGACUUUGAAUUCAUUUUAUUAUUAAUCAUUGAUAAUUUUUCAAUUGAUGCCUCUCUCACAAAGUUUAAUUGAAAUUUUUCGAGUCAGAGCCCAUCAUUGGUUUUUACCUUUUCGUCUCAAAAACUUAUAUCAGUUUUUAUAUGCUAUUUUUUUUUAAAGAAGUGUUUUCUCUGUCACUCUUACGGAACGACUUGGCAAUAAAUCCUAGAUAUUUUUCAAAUUUUAGCUUCUUUGAAACUCCCUUUUUGCAACUUAUUUUCAUUUAUUUUGUUGGAUUAGUUAAUAUCUGUAUAUCAAAUUUUUCAAUAUCAGACUUAGUUAAAGAAAAGAAAUAUGUAGAAAUGGUGGAAGAAGAAAAUUAAAUAUGAUAGAAGAAGAAAAUAUCAAAAACAUUCUUCGACACAUGAACUCAUGAAUAAUGAAAAGAGUCGCAAUUAUAAGUAAUGCAAUGAAAUCGAAUGAAUAAUACAUUUUUUUAUUAAAAAAAAUAUACAUAUCAUUUUCCAGAAAGUUAAUGAUUUUUUAAAAAAGAUUUGGAAAUUGGGAGAAAAGUUUUUUUUCUUUUUAAGUAAUGUGAGGAAAAAAUUUUAAGGAGCCAAAUUCAUAAUAAACUACGAUAGAUAAGAAAGGAUUUUAAGUAAAAAAAAAAAAGUGAGAAAAAUAUUAAUUAUGUUAAAACUCUUUAGUUAAUCAAAUAAAUACUGGCAAUUAGAGAUUGGAAGAGAUUCAUUACUGGAGAGGAGUUAAAUCCAGUUUGAUUUGAUAUGUAGCUUUAAAGAAAAAAAAAUUAUUUUAUAAUUUUAAAUUAAUAAUAUACAUAUAAAUAUAUCGUGUUUUAAUCUUGUAAUUUUAAAUUUAAAGUUAAAAAUAAAAAGUUACAUAAAAAAUAUUUCAUGAUCGAACUAUUUAACCGUAGUGAUUUUCUAUAUUAAUUAAGGGAUUGAUACGUAUACUAGCACCAAAAAUGAAAUGUAUGAUGAUCAUUUAUAGCUUCUUUCUCAAUUUUGAACUAUAAAAGUUCUUCUCAUAAGAUUUCGCACAUUAUAAUAUUAAUCUGGUAUAUUAUUAGUAUCUUAUUUGAUGUUUUUUUCUAAUUUAUGUAUAUGUAAUAUUUGCAUUAGUUAUAUACUAUAUUGUAAUGUGUAUUAAAGUGUGUAUUGCUCAUACUAAGGAUUUUUAUGUAGUAGCAAUGUAAUGGUUUUGAUACAUGCAUUAAAAUGAUGAAAGACUCAAUUGCCCCUCAAGACCCUUUUUACAUUUUUUCUGCCAUAGUAGUGGAGGGUAUCUUUGUAAAUUAUUUUUUAUGCAAUAUAUGCUUUUUUUAUGCAUCAAACCACACAAUGCAUAAAAAUAAUUUAUACAUAAUUAAUGCAAACAUAACUAAUACAUGCAUGGCAAUGCAAGCAUAACUAAUUCAUUUCAUUUAAUAUUAUUCUUAUACACUCUAUCAAACGAGUAUAAAUGUAUUGGAAUAUUAAAAACUAAUUUAAUUUUUAAGUAAUCAACAAUAGAAAGAAAUUUGCUUUUUAUGUGACCUGACAUUUCGAUGAGUACCAAUUUUUCCCUUAAGUUAUACAACAUAUAUUCACUUUAAUCACUGAAAUAAAAUCUUUACGUUACGUUACAUUAAAUGUAUAUAGUAUGGUUACAAGUCAAAACGUCCAAAGAAUAAAUAAAAAAAAUUAAAACCCAAAACAAUGAAAAGGAAAGUUCUUUUUUCAAUGGGGUAAAAAAUUCUUAAAAGUAAAAUUUGAAUAGAUUCGAAAAUGGUCAAUGAGCAAAUUAGGAUAACUCAAUCCCUUAAUUUAUGGGUUGGAUAUUAUUUUAUUUAAAACAACAGUAUAAUCUUCCAAAUAUAACAUUCCUUUGGAGCUCUAUAUAAGAGUUGUACAUGUGUAACAAUUAUCAUAAACAAUUCAUCUUUUGAAAUAUUAUACAAAAAAGUUAAAAAAAAUGAUGAAGAGCUACAUUGUUUUUUCUUUCCUCUCCUUGGCAAUAUUUCUCACUUUUUUUCAACCUGCCUUAGGUAAGUACUUUUUUUUUUUACAAUUUAUAUUCAACUUACAUUGCCUUUUUUUAAUUUCUUUUAAUAAUUUUGAUUAAUGUGUAUAUGCAUUUUUCGUGUUUUAGUGUCAGGUGAAAUUAAAUUUUGUCCGGGAACUUUCGAGGCUAAUGAUAUCUGUGAUAAAAUAAGAUGCGGAUAUCUAGCUCUGUUUAAAUGGCGAGUGAGUAAGAUGCCUCAGAAUUGUAAAUGUGCUCCUGCUGGAAAGAAGCAUAGCACUUGCACAUGUAUGAUAGUUUGCGAUGCAUAAUUGUAAUAGCAAGUAAAAAAAGUAUAUUGUAUGGUUUUGAUGUGGAUAACAUUAAAUAUGUGUCGACUGAUUAUGAAUAAACGUUACAAAAAUUUAUCUUUUUUAAUGUUCAAUCUUAAUAUCUUUUGUAUUAAUUCGAGCUUAUAUUUUCAACCUUCUUCUUAUACGGUUGUUUAUGCAUAAGGAUUCAAAAUAUAAAAAUCAAAUGCUUGAGAUUUGAAUUUGAAUUCGAAACCUCAAUAUAAGGUUUGAUCAUCCCCAAUCACCAAGUCAGUUUCUAAUCUUAUGUUUCAAGAGAUUCACGAUUUACAUAUAUAUAUAUAUAUAUAUAUAUAUAUAUAUAUAUAACGUUUGUCUUAACAAGGAUUUGAAAGAUAAUAAUACACAGUUUCUCAUAUAUUGGCACAAUUAGGGAAAAUUUAUAUUAUUGUCAUUCUCCAAUGAUUUAUAACGUGAACGCUCCUGUUUUUUUUUUUAUGUAAUGUAAUAAGUAAUAAUCAUCUAAUUAAGAUUUAGUAACUAAAAUAUAUAAACAAAUAACACUUCUAUGUAAAGAUAAAAAUUAAUUAUUAGGUCACAAGCAGAACCAUCUUAUUUGAUUGAAAUUAUAUUAUUUAUAUAUGAUUAUAUAAUUAUUUUUUAAUGUUUAUAUAUAGUAAAUAUUAAACCUCUUGAAUUAUUUCUUAUUUUUAUUUCUUUAGAUUUUAAACCUCUUAAAAUUUUGAAUUAAUGAAUUAUUGAUUAUUAUUUUUUGUGUUUGGAGAGGGGAAGUUACAAGUGUCAUUAAACUUAAUUAACGGUUUUAAGAUCUGUAGACUCGGGUUAGAAGCUGCCACGUUCAACAAUUUACACUCUCUUUCUAUGUCAAAUCAAUUCACUUUCUUCCAUAUACUAAACUAAUUAAGCAGAUUAUGUAACACAAUUACCAUAAAAGUGUUAAUUAUUUAACAUUUUGAUAAGAUGAGGGGUUUCUCAUAUUUGAAAAAAGCUCUUCAUAUCCGUUCUUGUUCCAGGCUUUUGGUUGCUUCUUGUAUCAGGUAUAUGUUCUGUUUGAUCUCUUAAAAUGUUUGUACAUUCAUAUAGUUUCUCAUUUUUUUCUUGUGUAGUUUAAAUUAUUGGUGUGAUAUAUUUAUUUUUAUAUAGUAAAUUAUAUUUUCAACACGUCCUCUCAUGUACGAGCUGGAAUUUCAUCGAUUAUCAUUUACUCCUUUAUUUGCUACGUAGUUUUUGCAUGGAUUGCCUCUGUUACGGGUGGUCUUUAAUUUUUGCCUCUUAAAUUUUUGGUCGGCUUCUCAUUUAAAGAAAUUUUGUAGGGGGCAUAGGCACAUGCAAGCUAGAUAUCCAAUUGGACACCCUUCGUCAGAAAAAAUAUUGCAUAUACAAGUAAAUGAUAUACGAAGUGAUUAAAUAACAUAUUUUGGACACCCUUGACAGAAUAGGUUGUUGUAGCCUAGUUGCUUUAGACCUUUUCAAUGGGUUUCAAACAUAUUGAAUGAGUUAGUGGUGGCGUGUUUCGUAAAUAUCCUGUCUCCACCACUAGGCUAUAGUACCCUUAUUUAUGUCAAAAUUUUGCAAGACAUAAAGUCUAGAGGACUUUUGCUUUGUCUAGCAUAAAUUUCGCAGGAGUUAAAGUUAUUGGGUAUUAGUUGUGUUGUAGCUGAUUCACUCGCAUAAGUUUAUAGAACUUGUCUUGUUCAACAAAGGUUCUGUAGGAAUAAGUUAUGUUUCUUGCGACAUAAUUUUGUGAGUUCUGAAAUUGAACUUUAUUAUACCUCUAUUGACAUAAAUUCUGUAGGAAGUAAGUUAUUCCAACUUAUGCGUUCUGAACUGAAUAUAUGUGUCUAACAACAUAAGUUCUGUAGGAAUUAAGUGACAUAACUUUUAUAAGGCAUAACUUGUGUUAUAUUUUGAUACGAAGAUAUAAACUUAUGGGUUUUAUUUAUUUUGUUUUGUUUUUCUAUGUCAAGUGUAUUUUCUGCUACCUUUUUGUUACUUAUAGUACUAAAGGGCAAAAAAAAAUCACAAAAUAUAGGGGCAUUCGUGCGAAUGACCCCUGAAAAUGUCACCCUGUGGUCUUAUGGUUGAUCCCUUUUGUUCCAAUUGUUCAGUCAAAAACUAGAAUUCCUUGUCGGAUCUGUAUACAAUACUAGUAUGACCAAUGGCUUUCAAACAUAUUGCAAGCGACCAUGUGACAAAUAACCAAUUCGCGAUGAAUAAGGAAGGUAUAUUAGUAAUGCUAUAAAUGAAUGAUCCAAUAUUGAAUACUGAUAAUAAUAUCAGCAAACAAAGUUCUCCCGUGCUUCCAGACAUAUUGAGCUCCACAUGUUCUUAUUCAAACAAAGAGGGUCGAUUCCCUAAAAGAUGAAAUCAGUAAAUGUCCGUUCACUAAAAUUGCAUGUAAUAUUUCUUAGGCAAUGUGCUUUUCUCUUAUUUUGAUUAACCAUGGAUUAUGAAUAUUUUUUUUUUGGUGUUAUAGUAGCGGGGGUCUCUUAGUAUAUGCAGAAAAUGUAGACAACAAUGAAAAAAUUGUUGAAAGGAGUCGAUUGGAUUCAAAAAAGAGGAAGAAAGUAGUGGUACUUGGAACAGGAUGGGCUGGCACCAGCUUCCUAAAGGAUAUGGAUAUUUCUUCCUAUGAUAUUGAAGUGGUGUCUCCGCGUAACUACUUUGCAUUUACUCCUUUGUUACCUAGUGUCACUUGUGGAACUGUUGAGGCACGAAGCGUUGUAGAGCCAGUCAGGAACAUAAUAAAGAAGGUAAGAUGAGUUCUUGUUACAACUUGUUUCGGGUGUGCAUAACUUACUCACAUAGAAUGUUCGCCAUAAACAAAUAAAUACAUAACAUGUAUCUUUAACUUAUAGUUUCAUCAGUUAAUCAUGGUUAAUAAUAAUCUAGCGUUGUCUAAUUUCCCUAUCAAUAUUAGUAUUACUCUCCUAAUAACCUUUUUUAAUUUAUUAUUAUUACCCGUUGUUUACUUUGUUUCAGUUAUCAUAUUACUUCUUGUUGAUACUAUUCUUGACAUUUUUUGGGCAAUGUGACAUACAUUAUUAUAUUUCCUUUUCAAACCUGUUGUUUUGUUAUGCUUUAUACUUGAGCCGAGGUCUAUCAGAAACAGUCUCUCUACCUUUACAAGGUAGAGGUAAGGUCUACGUACAUACCACCCUCUCAAGACCCCAUGUUUUGUUCCAAAUCAAUUUAUCGCUUAAUUAUGGUAAAUCAAUGUAGUUUGGUGUAAAUACAAGUAUAUAACUGAACCAUCCAGUUUUCUUCUCACGCAAUUUCUAAUCACGUUGCUCUUGAUUGUUUUUUUUUCUUGGUACAUGUUUUUCUUGAUUGAUACCUAUGUAUUUUUCUGAACUCUUGUUUAUUUCCUACAGAGAAAUGGAGAAAUUCAAUUUUGGGAAGCGGAAUGUCUGAAGAUUGAUCCUGAAAACCAUCAAGUCAUUUGCCGUUCUACUGUCGAAAAUUUGGUUGGAGAGAACAAUUUUUCGCUAGACUAUGACCAUUUGGUUGUAGCAGUAGGAGCUCAAGUGAACACUUUUGACACUCCCGGUGUUGUGGAACAUUGUCACUUUCUGAAGGUUAACUUCUCUGUCUCUAUUCGUGAUUAAUUCAGAUAGCGGAUUCAUUACACAUUUUCUCUAUACUAUGCGACUACAUGUAAUUUUAGACCUCAUAGAUAAAGUAGUUUUGGAUUCAUUAGUCAGAUUGAUGGUUUCUUUUGAUUUCGUGUGUGAAAUGGCAAAAAUAGAAUUUUCGUUUUCUCAGAAGAGUGAAUCAUGUGUUAUACAGGAAGUUGAAGACGCUCAGAAGAUACGAAGGACAGUAAUAGAUUGUUUUGAAAAAGCUGUCCUCCCGGGCUUAAGUGAUGAAGAGAGAAGGACCAAUCUCCAUUUCGUUAUAGUCGGAGGGGGUCCAACCGGAGUGGAAUUUGCAGCUGAGCUACAUGACUUUGUUCAUGAUGAUUUGGUAAAAUUAUACCCUUCAGUUAAGGAUCUAGUGAAGAUAACCGUCAUCCAAUCUGGAGAUCAUAUCCUGAACACGUAAUAAUUCACGAUCUUACAUGUCACCUUAAAAAAAUGAGAUUCCAAUAUUGGGAACUUAUUAGAAUCAUAAUGUAUUGUCUAUGCAGGUUUGACGAAAGAAUUAGCUGUUUUGCUGAAACUAAGUUUCAAAGAGAUGGAAUUGAGGUUUUGACAGGUUGCCGUGUUGUUAGUGUUUCUGAACAUUCAGUUAACAUGAAAGUAAAAUCUACAGGAGAAUAUGUCGUUGUGCCCCAUGGAAUGGUUGUGUGGUCUACUGGAGUCGGUACUCGCCCAUUUGUGAGGAAUUUCAUGGAAGAAAUUGGCCAGGUACGUUUGCACUAUGAUCCCCCUUUGUGUUUGUCUAUUGUGUUAUUAAGCACCAAUAAAGCCCCUGAUGAGUUGUGGCUGCCUCGUGUGGGCUCUCUGUGUUCAACUGAGCUCGUUGCUUUCGACUUGGAACUAUACAUACAUUUGCACCACAAAUUAGGAACAUAUAAUAAGGACAAACUCAUUCGUCUCUGGUUCCUUUAUUAUUAAGUUAUCAUGACCAUGUGAUUUUUUAUUUGGUAGGGGAAGAGAUGGAUCCUAGCAACUGAUGAAUGGUUACGAGUAAAGGAUUGUCCCGAUGUGUAUGCUAUUGGUGAUUGUACCACUGUCGAUCAACGUAAAAUUAUGGUAUGCAAGCCUUUGGCCAAGUAGCUACACUACAGGAUAUCUAUUCCCAACUCUGUUUUUUCUUCUUUUUAUGAUAAAUAACUUCCUAUGAAUAAGCAAAAUACAGUCCUAAAUUUCAAUGUAGUUUAGUCCCCUAACAAAUCGUAAUCAGUGAAGUACACCGCCAGCAUGCACUAGAUUCAAAAUAUUAUCACGCUUUCAUUAUUUUUCACCUUCAAUUUGCAUUUUCGUCAGGAAGAUAUUUCAACCAUUUUUGAAGCAGCGGAUACGGAUCGUUCUGGAACCUUAACUAUCAAAGAAUUCCAAGAUGUUCUGGAAGACAUAAUCAUCCGCUAUCCUCAAGUGGAGCUGUACCUAAAGAGCAACCAUUUGUUUCAAGUAACGGAGUUAUUCAAGGAUUCAGAAGGAAAUGAGAGAGAGGAGGUAGAUAUUGAAGGAUUUAAGUUAGCCCUUUCUCAUGUCGAUUCCCAAAUGAAGAGUCUACCUGCUACUGCUCAGGUAUAUAUCUGUAUUGAUCGAUGAUAUCUUAGUGUAUGUAAUCCCACAGUCAAAGGGAUUCUUUUGUUUUACUUCAUUUUUUGAUAUCAGUUCCUUUUCUGUUCACAUUGGUAGGUUGCUGCUCAACAAGGUUCAUAUCUUGCUGGCUGCUUUAACCGUUGGGAACAAUGCAACGCUAACCCUGAAGGUCCUCGCCUAUUUGGAAGUGCAGGGCGUCAUGCAUUUCGACCCUUCACGUAUGGCUUUUUCUUCUAGAGUGAAUUAUUUUCUUAUUUUACUGUUGCAUGUAUGAGAAUACAGUCCGUUAUACACACUCAAUAGCUAACUGUAGUAAAUUUGAGAUUCCAAAUUUUCUGUAUGGGUUGAGCUAGAGGAGCACAAGGGGGUUUACUUGAAUCCUCUUUGCUGGAAAUUAACUCUUGUGUGUAUACAGUCAAUUUUUGUAUAGUAGACGACGAAUUUCCUUACUUCUCCGUGUAUUUACUUCCUUAUAUUUUAAAUUCCCUCAUCAAAAUCCUGACUCUACUCUGUUUCACUCAGGUAAGCAUAGUUUAACCCAGAUCGUAGUGUUACUUAUUCAUCUCAACUCGACAAGCACUUCCCUUUGUUUCUUAAUCCUUUUUUAGCAAAUGAUAUGGCAUAUGUAGACCAUAAGUUUCAGAAGUCUUUUAUAGCCACACAAAUGUUAUGAUAUGUUUAAGAAUUUGAGUUCCAAGAUAUUGUUCUGCAAUGAUUCUAUGCACUUGCUUAAAUUUUAGAUCCGUCUCUGGUUAAUUCUAGAAUUUUGUGAUGCAGAUAUCGACAUUUAGGUCAAUUUGCACCAUUAGGUGGGAGCAAAGCAGCAGCAGAGCUUCCUGGAGACUGGGUAUCAAUGGGUCGUAGCACACAAUGGCUUUGGUACUCUGUUUAUGCAAGGUGAUUAAUUAAAUGUAUUAAUUCGUCAAUAAUCACAUAAUUAUGUAUGUUUUGAGAAGAUUUAGUCUUAAUUAAUAUAUAAUAUUUAUCAUUAUUUCAGCAAGCAAGUUAGCUGGCGUACAAGGAUCUUAGUUGUAUGGGAUUGGACAAGAAGAUAUAUUUUUGGAAGAGAUUCAAGUCGAAUAUGAUGCUUUAAUAGUUUUACAUUGGCUCUUUGCUACUUUUUGGUUACCAAAUGCAAUAAUUUUAUAUCUGUAUAAACUUCUAAUGUACAUCGAAUAGUAAUUAAUAAUUGCAAAAUUUUGAACUAUGUAGAAUGGUUUAUUUUUAUCCUCCGUUAAUAGUUGAGGUUAAAAAAAAAAACAUAAUACAUAAAUAUGUACUUUAAUUUAAUUACAAAUUAUAUUAAUGCCCUUCAACUUUGGAUGUGCAUAAGUAGAUACUUAAACUUGUAUAAAGUUGAACAAAUAAACACACGUGUCCAACAUGACAUCCUACAUAUUAUUUUUUGUCCUACUUGUGUUGUAACAUGUAGGACUCAUAUAUUUAUUUAUUCAAAUUUAAGUGUCUACUUGUGCAUAACCAAAAUUGAAAAAUAUAAAUAUGAAAUUAGGUUAAGUUGAGGAACACAUUUAUAUAUAAUUAUGCAAAAAAAAUUCUAUUAAUUUAAAGAGUUUGAUUGCUCAGAUAGUCGCUCUAACUUUUUAAAAUAUUGCCAUUAUUUAUUUUUAUGAGCAAAGGACGCCUAAAUAAAGGAAAAGUCCGUGAAAAUUUAAAAGUAAUUAUAUCUAUACGUACAUGGAGCUUUAUAAACUAAUAACAAAUACAAAAAAAAAAAAAAUAGUUACCACUUAACAUUUACUUCUCAAAAUUCACAUAAACAACAUUCAAACAUACGAAAUGUUGUAAACCAAUGAAUAAAUGUGAGUCAGGAAUUAAGUUGACGUUGGAUUGGAUUGAUUUCAAAUUGAUUUAAAAUUUAAUCUAAAUAAUAUGAUAAUUACAUCAUUAUAACUAUCAUCGCCACCAUCGUUAUUACGAAUCACUAUCAGCAAUCAUCACCAGUCAAUUACCCUUAUUAUAAACUAUAUUCGUUUCCCAAUACACUUCUCAAAACAUUUGAUUUAUUAUAUUUUAUUGUAAAAUUAUUCUAUUUAUUGUUCAUUAAAGAAUGUAUCAAAGCCAAUUUUGGACAUAGUAAAAAUAGUUGGAGAAAGUAAAUUUAAUAAAAUUAGGUGAUAAGCGUUUUUUUCCUUCACUUUGCACCCGCUUGGGACCGCAAAUUUCCAGAAGUCUAUUACAUUGCUUUGUAUUACAAAAAAGGAAACAUUUCUUUAUAAAAUAGCAUUACAUAGGUCCCUAUUUUAUAUGUCAAUCUUUCGAAUUUCAAAAGUUAAAUAAGUUUAUUUUUGAUUGUAAAUCUUUUAUACAUCUUUUAAAUAUUUUGAAUUAUCAAUUAAUAGUAUUUUUACGUAGUUUACAAAUAUAUAAAUUUUAUUUUUAAAAAAAUGAAAAUUUAAUCUACAAAUUUUCGAUCAAACUUAAACUGUUUGACUCACAAAACAUAAAAUGUGUCACGUAAAUUGAACGGUACCGCAAACACAAAAUAUGUGUACCAACUUUUGCAUGUAGCAAAGUUGUUGAAUCACACAAAACCAUCCCCAAUUAGACCAGAAAAAAAGAUACUACACCUAUAAAACGAAACUGUCCACAUGACUCAAUGCACUCCAUUUUAUUUUUACUAUACUUGUCUCUAGCUAGUUUUUUAAGGAAAAGAAAAAGAUCUAUAAUUCAACUUACCAAAAUGAUGAAGUUGUUUGUUGUAGCAUCCUUAUUGCUACUACAACUUCAUCAAACCACAACCAAACAUGAUCACAAGACCAAAAGUAAUGGUCUAAUGAUAAAAAUGAUUCACCGUGACUCAAGGAAAUCUCCAUUCUACGACCCAAAACUUACACUAGAAGAUCGUGUGAGAAGAAUGAAUAUGAGAUCAGAAGCUCGCAUUUCACAGCUUCUGAUUGACAAUAAUCUAGAAAAAUAUGUUGAUGCAUUUCAAAUUAUCCCAUUUGAAGGGUACGAGUUUCUUGUUCCAUUAAAAAUUGGCACACCUCCUGUGCCACAAAUUCUUGUCAUGGACACUGGUAGUUUAUUACUUUGGGUUCAUUGUGGCUACACCAUGGGUGGUGAACGCUCACCAUAUCCACUAUACGUCUAUUCACAUUCUUCAUCAUAUAUUGAAGAUGUGUUUUGUAAAACACCUAUGUGUGAGUUAAUAAUGCUUAAAGGUGAAUGUGGACGUGACUCGAAGAGAUGUGAGUAUACAUAUAGAUAUAUGUCAGGUAUGACUCAGGGAAAUCUUGCUUCUGAAGUUUUUACAUUUCAGUCACCAAAUGGAACUGAUGUGACUAUGAACAAGUGCCUUAUGUUUGGAUGUUCCUCAAUACUUUCUAAAGGCGCAAAUCAUGUUAGUGGAAUUCUUGGACUUAGCAAACGAGCUAUUUCUUUGAUUUCUCAACUAAAUCAUACUGGAUUUUCCUAUUGUAUCGGUAAUAUUAAUGACGAAGACUAUGAUUCAAACACAUUGGUUUUGGGAGGAGAGCCUGUAAUUUUGGAAAACUCUACUCCCAUGUUUAUAGUUAUAGGAAAAUACUAUAUAACCUUAGAAAAAAUCAGUGUGGGAGACAAGUUUCUUGACAUCGAUUCAAGCAUAUUCAAGAGGAUCAAUUACGAAGGUGGAAUGCUUGUUGAUAGCGGAACCACUUCAACUUAUUUGCCUCAUAUUGCAUUCAAUAAAUUGAAGGAGGAAAUAAGAUUUGUGAUUGGUACGACAUUAACAGAGCAUAUAAGCUCAAGACAAGGUGAACUAUGUUACCGUGGAACUAUCAGUGAAGAUCUUAAAAAUUUUCCGACUAUAGCAUUUCAUUUUGUUGAAAAUGCUGUAUUGAAGUUUGAUGCUCAAAAUUUAUUUCGACAAGAUAAAACUGACUAUUUCUGCUUGUCUGUACAAAGUAUGGAUAGUGACCGGCUCUCUCAGAAACUACCUUUUAGCAUAUUAGGGAUUUGGGCGCAACAAUUUAAUUACAUCGCCUUUGAUAUUAAUAUAAUGAGAAUGCCCUUCACUAAGAUAGAUUGUGACAUCCUGUAUGAUUAAUUCAAUGAUAAUAAUCUUUCAAUUUUACUCUCUUUGUCAUACAAUAAUCUUUCAAUUUUUAUGAGUAAUAUGAUAUGAACCAACUUGUAUUGAUGACUGAUAGGAAAUACAAGCUUUUAGGGAAUCAAAACUUUUAGAGAAAAAGUAAGAAACUACAGUCAUUCAACUACGAAACGCAACUAAAAGGAAAACUUUUUAUUUUCUCUAUCCACUAUUGUGUGUCAGAAUAAAAUAUGCACAAUCUUGAAAAAAAUUUAAUAUAAAGUGCAAUUUGAUUAAUAUAAUUUUACUUUUUUUUUUGUAUCAGACAGUGUCUAGCGGUCUUUUAUUAAACAUAAAAAAUGUCAAUAGGAACAAAUACAAGCAAAGGGGGCUAGGUCUUAUCUUAGUAAUCCUAAUGAAAUAUCUAACUUCUGCUAUCUAACAAGCAUGAAGAAAAUAAGAGCUAAAGAGAACUACGUAUUUUUAAUCGUAACAUAGUUUGUAAUACACUCCAUAAUGAUAUUACAAAUAAGAAUACUUAAAUAAUGUAAAAAUAUGUCAAUCAAGAAGAAAGUUGAUUUACCAGCCUCAAACUUUCUAUUACUAAAGCAUGAGUUAAAAAAAGUUUGAUUGCCCAACCACACUUGAUGAUUCAUACCUUCUUUACUGAUUUAUUGGAUCUAGUUGAGCCUAUUAAUACUGUCAAAUGAUUUUGUUUUGCCUGUCGCAUCAAUAGGUGUCUUGGAACAAACUCUUCAGACAUUUUACCGUCCCAACUAUGUUACCUUUCAUAUGUCUUUUUUUGCUUUUGUUGCUUUCGCUUCUUUGUUGCCUAAGUGCUAUAUCUCCUUCCUAGUCACUCUAUUAAAGCAAAUGUCCAACACAUUGUCUUCCUCAUCUUCAUCAAGAGAAUUCUCUCCCGAAUCCACUCCAUCUUCAUCAAGAGAAUCCUCACCCAAAUCAAUUAUAUGUGACACUAAGUCACUUGACUCAUUCUUCCUUGCAAGCACACAUUAGGCACAAAUACACGAGCUUGGGACUUAAUCUGCUAUUUAAAGCAGGUGGUGAGACUUGUUUUUCUUGGAUAAAAUCGUGGUCAUUCUCUGUUAACCUUACUUGCUUUUCAGUAGUCUUCAACAAAUCAUCAAAGUAAUUCGAACAUAAUAGGUCUCUUGAUGCAUUACUAGUAUCUUGGCUCUUCUGGUUCAAACCCUUUUCACUACAUGGAGAAUUAUUUUGACUAGUACGGGAAAGACUCUGACUACUAGUUGAUUUUUUGUGUGCAACUAGUGUCCAAUUCUUAGUUUGAUUCUCGUUUCCACUUGCAAAACAUGCUGCCAAGCAUCUUCACUUCAACUUCAUAUGUUAUUGUGUCCGGUUUUAGUUUUCCAAAGGAUGAUUCAACCCAAGAUUUACAAGAACGUCUAUCAUGUGCUUUCUUAGUAUCCUUCUCCACUUGCUCCUCCUCCUUGUUAUCCAGUGCAGCAAAAGAAUUCACCAUUGGGAUCUCUGUUAUCUUCUCUAGCUGAGGUCUUUUCCCCUUGUUUGGGGUAAAAAGUCGCAUAUCCUUUGUUACGUUCUAGACCUUGAACAAAGAAAUCAGGGGACAAACCAUGAAAGGAGAUCCAAGCCAGUGCAGUGGUUGUUUCUGCCUAUGGUUAAACCAUGGUUCCCACUUAAGCUAGGGCGGACCCACACUAUAUCAUUGGGGUGCAUGUGCAUUCGGUAACUUUUGAAAAAAUCAUAUGUAUAUCUAUUUUGAAAAACUGGUAAAAAUUAAGAUAAACUUACCGUGCAUCCAUAAUAAACAUAGAGUGCAAUUGGAAGCCUGUUUUAUUUUAAGUUUAACUUAUACAUUAUAUUUGAGUUAUGUUUAUAUUGGUGCACUCAAAAUCUUCAAAUCCUGGAUUCGCCUCUGCACUUAAGGGGCCUCAUCUGAUAAACCCCAUCUUUGGCACGAAGAAAGUAUACAGGUUUUUGGGGUGGAAGAGGCAGCCAACCAUUGCUGGCAGUAGCCAUCGUACCUUCCGCUAGGUUUUUAUUUUGUUAAGGAUCACGCUGCUAGUUUCUGUGUAACCUACUAUCAACUAUUAUUAAAAUGGUAAAAAUAAUUAUUUUCAUAUUAAAGUAGUCUUGUAACUUUGAAACAAACAAUUAUUUAAUUCUCAAGGGCAAAAUAGAAAAAAAAAGUGAUUGAUUUGUUUCUUGAGAGGAACACCAUAUUUAGGUGCAGCUUGUAGCCUGUUGUCGUGCCUAAGUGUGAGUGGGUUAUUAGCCAUAUUCAAAACAUAAUAUUAUGAAAUCAGUUGCUAAUUUAAGGAAAGAAGCAAGAACAACAAUAAGGAUGAAGACAAAUCCAAAAUUUGCCAAACAUCAUAACUCAUGACUAACAAUGUUGAUUAAAUAUAUAUAAAUAAAUACAUGGUUAAGAAGUGCAAUAAGGACAAUGUUGAUGGAUAAUCAUAGUUGGAUCUAAAGCUAAGCAUAAUUCUCCUAGCGUCUCUUUAGGUGGAAGUAAUCUAAAAAGCCUUUUGAUAUGGAAAAUACUAUCCUCAAC
rnacentral:lncRNA from 1 species